AGAGUGCCUGGUGUCCAAGGAAGCAUGUAUAGGGGGUACAUAUGGUGGCAGUUGUAUGCUCAGCAGAAGAAGCACCAGGGAGGUGAAGGUCACGUUGACAGCAUGAACCUUCGAUGUGAUGUGAGGAAAAUGGCAUUCUACCUCUGUGUUCUUCCUCCCCAAAAUUUGUAACCACCAUCUAAUCAUGAGGAAAACAUCAUACAAGUCCAAAUUGAGGAAGAUUCUACAAAAUGCCUGAUUAAUAUUCAUCGAAACUGUCAAGGUCAUCAAAAGCAAGGAAAGUCUGAGAAACUGCCACAGCCUAAAGACAAUCCAGGGAAACGUGAUGACUCAGUGGUAUUCGGGGUGGGUUUCUGGAACAGCAAAAGGACAACAGUGUUAACAUCUGGGCCAAACAUCUGGGCAGCAACAUCAGAAAGCCCCUCUGCUGUGCUUCAGGAUCACUCUUAUCACUGCAUAAAGAAGAGCCUUUCGCCUCCUGCCAUGAUUCUGAGGCCUCCCCAGCCAUGUGGAACUGUACCCUGAGCCACUAUCUAAAUUGUCUGCUUACCUUAUGAAGACACCAUAAGGAGGUAUAACGUGUGGUGAGCACAGGUGAAGAGCUAGAGGCCUGAAACUAGAUGGGGAGGGAGAAGCCAGCCAUGCCUGCAUCCAGGGCUGCACUCAGCCUCCCAGCAUCUGUGCAGAGGCAUCAGUCAAGCCACAGCUAACUGCAGUCCCAGCUAACAUUAUGUGGAACAUCCCAGUCAUCCCAGAUCAUCCCAGUCAACCAAGAUCAUAAAAUUGUUUUCAGCUAUUAAGUUUAAAUAUGUGAAAUAAGGAGAUAAAAAUACUGACUUGGACUCUGUCUGAAUGAAAGGAUUAGUAGAUUAGAUUAGUGAUUCUUAAAAGACUUUCUUGGAUGCAUAUAAGUGUCCACAAAAUAAGAGUAUGAUGGUUUCCAGGUACAAAUAAGAUGGAAAACUAUUUUGUGAAUCAGAAUUAAAUUGGUUUAUUUACUGUAGAACUUCUAAGAGGCUUUAACAUGUACAUUUAAUUAUCAUAAGCCUUAUGAAAACUCCAGGAGGACAGAAGAGUUGCCUGUGACUUUUUUUAAAGUGUUUAUUCACAUCCCAAGGAAGGAUUCCCAGAAGAGAUGAUGCCUAAGCAGUGUCCCAACCAUGAAAUAAAGUCUCCUAGCUACUGGACAAGAUCAUCUCGAAGCUUAUUUCCAGCUCCAAAUGUUAUUAUUUUCCUCAAACCCAUUAUAAAAUGGCCUCUCUUAGCACUAUGAGAUCUGUAAUACAAGAAGUAGAACAAACACAUGAAGUUCCUGUUGGAAAUUCAAACUUCUCAUACAGCCUUCACUGAGUUCUACUCAUUAUGGAUAAAGGCUUCUGCUUUGAGUCACCUAAGUACUUUUGACCCCCAACUUAAUCAAUGCCUUGAAGUGAAAAUACAGUGUCAGGCAGUCCCUAUUCAUGACACAAACAAACCAACCAACUCAUAUCAUGACUUAAUGGUGUGAGACCUCAGUAAAAACUUUAUAUGAACUAAAUUUGUCUCAUUUGUAUCUUCUCAUACCUGUCACAGAAUUUCCUCUGUCCAAUGACACUGGUCCUUCGAUAGUCUUAGCUGUCUUUUCCUUCUUAAACUAACAAAAAUAAAAGUGAAAGAAAC
ensembl:lncRNA LINC01277 long intergenic non-protein coding RNA 1277